rnacentral:rRNA from 1 species
ACUCCUACGGGAGGCAGCAGUGGGGAAUAUUGCACAAUGGGGAAACCCUGAUGCAGCCAUGCCGCGUGUGUGAAGAAGGCCUUCGGGUUGUAAAGCACUUUCAGUAGGGAGGAAGGUAGUGUAGUUAACACCUGCAUUAUUUGACGUUACCUACAGAAGAAGCACCGGCUAACUCCGUGCCAGCAGCCGCGGUAAUACGGAGGGGUGCGAGCGUUAAUCGGAAUUACUGGGCGUAAAGCGCAUGCAGGCGGCCUGUUAAGUCAGAUGUGAAAGCCCGGGGGCUUAACCUCGGAAUUGCAUUUGAAACUGGCAGGCUAGAGUCUUGUAGAGGGGGUAGAAUUUCAGGUGUAGCGGUGAAAUGCGUAGAGAUCUGAAGGAAUACCAGUGGCGAAGCGGCCCCCUGGACAAAGACUGACGCUCAGAUGCGAAAGCGUGGGGAGCGAAACAGGAUUAGAUACCCUGGUAGCACAGAG